UUUAAACACCGGUUCCCGUACGAUCACCGUAGUUAAUCAACGUCGGGCUUGGUCAGUACCUGGAUGGGUAACCGCUUGAGAAUACCAGGUGCUGUAAG